AGUGAUUCGGCUAUAAACAUGUCUAAGCAGUUGAUGGUUUGUUUGGUUCUGGUUGCGGUUUUGGGAGACCAAUUCAUGCAAAUUGAAUGUGUUGGUGGAUUGCUUGGCAAAGCAAAGGGAGUCAUGACACAAG